GAUGAACGCUGGCGGCGUGCCUAAUACAUGCAAGUCGAGCGAACGGACGAGAAGCUUGCUUUUCUGAUGUUAGCGGCGGACGGGUGAGUAACACGUGGAUAACCUACCUAUAAGACUGGGAUAACUUCGGGAAACCGGAGCUAAUACCGGAUAAUAUUUUGAACCGCAUGGUUCAAAAGUGAAAGACGGUCUUGCUGUCACUUAUAGAUGGAUCCGCGCUGCAUUAGCUAGUUGGUAAGGUAACGGCUUACCAAGGCAACGAUGCAUAGCCGACCUGAGAGGGUGAUUGGCCACACUGGAACUGAGACACGGUCCAGACUACUACGGGAGGCAGCAGUAGGGAAUCUUCCGCAAUGGGCGAAAGCCUGACGGAGCAACGCCGCGUGAGUGAUGAAGGUCUUCGGAUCGUAAAACUCUGUUAUUAGGGAAGAACAUAUGUGUAAGUAACUGUGCACAUCUUGACGGUACCUAAUCAGAGAGCCACGGCUAACUACGUG
rnacentral:rRNA from 1 species